GGUGCAGCUGGCAUUCUGGAAUCCUCCCUAUGAGCAAGUUCUCUGCUGGCAAGUGGCCAGGAGCCUAGGGGCAAGCGGCUGCAGGGACAGUGUCUGCCCCUGGGUUAAAUCUUCUUCAGGUGCCACACGGGCGGUCAGGCCCCCCUGCUCACAACUGUGCCAAAUGAGGGACCUAAGAGACAACGCUGACUCACCAGCCAGGAACUGCCGGCCAUUUCACAGACACUCCUUUUCCCAUGAUACGUGAAAAUCAAGUCGACAAGAAUCAAAAAAUUCCCCCUUUAACAAAUUCAUUCAACAAUUAUCGAGUACCAACUACGUGCUGGGUUCCAUGCCGGGUGCUGGGAAUACGGAAGUUGACGGUGUAUCGGGUGGACAGCAUACCCAGUCCUGCACCAGUGGGUGGAAGCCGAGCCUCUCCACGGUCUACCUUUCUCUUUAGAAGUUUCUGAGUGAGAGACCACCCGGCCUCAUGCACCACAAGGGGGAGUGCCCCGGUACCCGCCCUGACGGCAUGGAGACAGCUAUGUUUAGCAUUUCCUGAUGGAACCGAAAUCUGCAGUCAAGAAAAGCUGGUCCUGGCCAAAACAUUGACUUUUGGAUGAGAACGAUGUCUUCAAUAAUAAUCCUGCCAAAACCACUGCCUCAUGCAUUAGCCCUCUCCCUAGAGGGUGACAGGAACCAGUAAGUGACAGAAAACUCAACUUGUACAGACUGGGGGAAAAAAAAUCAACUCUGAUUUUGUUUUUGUUUUUGUUUUCUGUAAGGACAAAAAUAAAUGCAUAUUUUACUACCAAA